UACAGAGGUCCCGAGCGUUGUUCGGAUUCACUGGGCGUAAAGGGUGCGUAGGUGGCGGGGUAAGUCUGAUGUGAAAUCCCGGGGCUCAACCCUGGAACUGCAUUGGAUACUGCCUUGCUUAGAGUACUGGAGAGGGAACUGGAAUUUACGGUGUAGCAGUGAAAUGCGUAGAGAUCGUAAGGAAGGCCAGUGGCGAAGGCGAGUUCCUGGACAGUUACUGACGCUGAGGCACGAAGGCCAGGGGAGCAAACGGG
rnacentral:misc_RNA from 1 species